rnacentral:rRNA from 1 species
GUCCUCUUGUUUAUAUAUGAGGUCAGACCUGCCCGGUGAAUUUUAUUUUAACGGCCGCGGUAUUUUGACCGUGCAAAGGUAGCAUAAUCAUUAGUCUUUUAAUAGGAGGCUGGAAUGAAGGGUUUGACGAGGUGUUGACUGUCUCAUUUAAUUUGAAAUUAAAAUUUAACUUUUCAGUUAAAAGGCUGAAAUUAUAUUGGAAGACGAGAAGACCCUAUAGAGCUUUAUAGUUACAGUUUUAAUUAAUUAUUGUUUAAUCAUUAUUUUUUAUAAUUGUACCUAUUUUGUUGGGGUGACAAAAAUAUAAAAGUAACUUUUUUAUUUAGUGUUCAUUGAUUUAUGAGCUUUAGAUCCAAUUUUAUUGAUUGUUAGAAUAAGUUACCUUAGGGAUAACAGCGUAAUCUUCCUUCAGAGUUCAUAUUUACAGGAAGGAUUGCGACCUCGAUGUUGGAUUAAGAUAAUAAUUAGGUGUAGCCGCUUAAUUUAUAGGUCUGUUCGACCUUUAAACUCUU